UACGAAGGGGGCUAGCGUUGUUCGGAAUUACUGGGCGUAAAGCGCGCGCAGGUGGUCUUUCAAGUCAGUGGUGAAAGCCCGGAGCUCAACUCCGGAAAUGCCAUUGAAACUGUAAGACUUGAGGAUGAGAGAGGUGAGUGGAAUUCCCAGUGUAGAGGUGAAAUUCGUAGAUAUUGGGAAGAACACCGGUGGCGAAGGCGGCUCACUGGCUCGAUACUGACGCUGAGGUGCGAAAGCGUGGGGAGCAAACAGG
rnacentral:rRNA from 1 species